CCGGUCCCGCGGCCCGUGUCCACCACGACCAAGCCGCGCCCGCAGUUCGCCGAGGUCGGCUUCGUGUGAGCGAGGCCGGGCCGGAGCGAGCGAGCUAACAUUUCCACUUGUGCCCGGCGUGUCUUCCCUUCAGCGUGGGGGUCAUUUCUCCGUUCGUGUUGUUCUAAUUCGUGGUGGAAGACGAGACGAUGCAGCAGCAGCAGCAGCGUUCGUCCGGUGAGUGAGUGUGGGUGGUGUGUCAGUCCGUGGUGUGGUAUUGGUCGCCGGAGGGGUGGGUGUCGUGUCGUCUCCCCCGGCGACGGUGUAUCCCUCUGUAUCUCUGUCAGCUCGCACACAAUGCAUUGCCACUUAGUCCAUCAUUUCAAUUCCUUCCACCAGGCGCCUGCUCCAGCGUGUGUAUUGAUUGAUGCUCUUCGCAGUUCAUUCCAAAGCGUGAAUCACAUUGAUUUUUGUUGUUGCUCCAUCUUCCUUUUGACCUCCAUCUCCCAUGAUUUUUGGCUGUAAAUCUGUUGUGAUGUGAAAACUUACUGCUCUCCAGCAGUAGCUGUUAAAAUGCAUUUGCAAGUAAGUCGUAGUCAUUCUUGAUGCUCCAUUUCCCGCAUGAUUUCAGCUACAUUUUGCUUGCAUCUACAUGUGGGGGGGGGGGGGGGGUGUGUGUGCCCAAUGGAGCUUCUUGUCCAUUCUGCAAGGACAAGGAUCAUCACGCAUGAUAUGCCUUGCCUUUGCUGCACGACAGAGUCGGGUG
rnacentral:lncRNA from 1 species